rnacentral:rRNA from 1 species
GAUGAACGCUGGCGGCGUGCCUAAUACAUGCAAGUCGAGCGAACAGACGAGGAGCUUGCUCCUCUGACGUUAGCGGCGGACGGGUGAGUAACACGUGGAUAACCUACCUAUAAGACUGGGAUAACUUCGGGACACCGGAGCUAAUACCGGAUAAUAUAUUGAACCGCAUGGUUCAAUAGUGAAAGACGGUUUUGCUGUCACUUCUAGAUGGAUCCGCGCCGCAUUAGCUAGUUGGUAAGGUAACGGCUUACCAAGGCGACGAUGCGUAGCCGAGCUGAGGGGGUGAUCGGCCACACGGGAACUGAGACACGGUCCAGACUCCUACGGGAGGCAGCAGUAGGGAAUCGUCCGCAAUGGGCGAAAGCCUGACGGGGCAACGCCGCGUGAGUGAUGAAGGUCUUCGGAGCGUAAAACUCUGUUAUUAGGGAAGAACAAAUGUGUAAGUAACUAUGCACGUCUUGACGGUACCUAAUCAGAAAGCCACGGCUAACUACGUG